rnacentral:rRNA from 1 species
GACGAACGUUGGCGGCGUGCUUAAUACAUGCAAGUCAACUGAAGCAGUGGUAGCAAUAUCGCUGUGGAGGUGGCGCACGGGUGAGUAACACGUAGGUAAUCUGCCUUCAGGUCUGGCAUAACUCCGGGAAACCGGGGCUAAUAGCAGAUGAUGCAGCGGCUCGACAUCGAGACAGUUGUUAAAGCUAUGGCGCCUGAAGAUGAGCCUGCGUCUGAUUAGCUAGUUGGCGGGGUAACGGCCCACCAAGGCAACGAUCAGUAGCUGGUCUGAGAGGAUGAUCAGCCACACUGGAACUGAGACACGGUCCAGACUCCUACGGGAGGCAGCAGUAAGGAAUAUUGCUCAAUGUGAGAAAUCCUGAAGCAGCAACGCCGCGUGAGGGACGAAGGGCUUUUGCUUGUAAACCUCUGUAGUGAGAGAAAAAAAUCCCAAUCUUUGGGACAUGAUGGUAUCUCAAAAGUAAGCCCCGGCUAACUACGUG